UAUCAAAAAUCAAGACGACAUUCAAGUCCUCUUGCAUACUGUCAUGUUUCGUGGGACACCCUGUAUAUCUAAAUACAUGUUAUUGUAAUCGUAAAUAGCUACUUUAAUUUCGGUCAAAUUUUGGACUGCUGGAGUUUUUGGUGAUUUUUGGGAUUGUUUGUUUUGUAAAGUUUAAAACAAAAAAAAUAUUUUUUAAACAUCAUUUUUUUUGUUUUGGGCUCUUAUUUUCAUGUCAAUAUAUUUUAAUCAGUCUUUUCAUUCAAAUCUUGAAAUUUUCUAUAUUUUACGAUCAGAGAAAAGAACUUCACAAAAAAUUAUUGACUCAACAAAAGAGCACCUUAAUUUUCUGCAUGUGAUAGAGAUAUUGUAAAGAAAUAUUGAUUUGAUCACUUACUUAAAAACUUUUAAAGCUUACAUAUUGUUUUUUUCUGAUUUUCGAAUAUUGAAAGGUUUGAUUUUUAAAAUUUCUAUUGUUUUACAAAAAUAUCCAAUUUUUUAAUAAUAAGCUAAUUAAAAGUUAUCGAGAUGUUUUCAAUUCUGUAAAUGGCAAUUACUUCAGAAUAACAGUACAUAUGUUCACAUACUUAUAAAUAAUUCAUCUUAAUUAUAAUGUUUGUCAAGAGUGAAUAAUGUGUAUUUUUGUUAAGUUUGAAUUAUUUAAAUAUAACCAAUUGUGUAAAACCGCUUAGUAUUGUAAAAUAUGCAUUAUGCAUAGUUCGUAUCUUUAAGGUUGUCCAUGUUUAUAUACACAUUGUUAAAAUUAUUAGUGAUCUUUAUUUAAAAUAUGAAAAUGUUUGAAAUUUACCAAAUUUAUAGACUUCACUCUACUUUUCUAGAAACCAUUUCAGCUUUUUAUUGUUGAUUUUCAAGCCGAUAUUUUAAAUAAGCGUCCUCAUUAAACAAAUAUUUUCGAGGAUUUUUCUGUUUCUAUUCAAGGAUUUUCCAAAAUCAUAAAGGCGACAUUUUUUUUAUGUCCAGUCAUAAACCUUCCCUGGGAUCGUGUGAUUGCCAUAACAAAUUUAUACCCUAUCAAUUUAGCCUUUUUGACUUUUAUUGGACACAAAAAAAAGAUAGCAGUGAAACUAGGUUUUUUAGUUAUAUGGUGUGAAUAUUUAAUAUAACUAAAGAGUUUUUUUUAAAUUCUUCUUGCAAUCUCUUAUUGUGUUUGAAAGUGUACUGAUAUAUCUUGUGUUGUAGAAACGUUGUUAAAUAUAAAUUUAAACCUUAGAAUUGAAUUUUCAGAACAAAAAAAAACAAGAAAUAAAAUGUGCACUGUUAAAAAUCAGGAAUGUUACUAAGCUAUAUUUUAAACUAAUGUAGUGAUGUAUUCGACGCCUAUAUUAUUCAAUUCAUAUAGUACUUGCAGAUAUUUUGUCCACUUCAUGAUGGAUUUCAUCAAAUAAAAAAACGUUUUCGCAUGAAA